rnacentral:rRNA from 1 species
GGGGGUAAAUUAAUAAUUUAAAUUAUAAUAAAAAAAAUUUUAAUAUUAAAAAAAAAUAAUGGGGGUUAGAGUAUUUUUAAUAGAAAAAAUUAGUAGUUUUAUAGUUAAUUAUUACUGUAAAGGAAAUUAUAAAUAAUUGAAAAUUAAUUAAAAAAAAAGUAAAUUUAAUUUGUUGUAUCUUGUGUAUCAGAGUUUAUUAAAUAUUAGUAAUUUAUUUAAAUAAAUCUCGAAUUUAAAAGAGUUAAUUAAUUAAAAAAGUUAAUGUUGAAUAAUUAUUUUAAAUAAUUAAUUAGAAAUGAAAUGUUAAUCGUUUUUAAAUAUAUCUAGUUUUUUUAGAAAAAAAUUUAAUUUUAAAUUAAAAUAAUUUUAUAAUUUUUUAAUUAAUUAUAAAAAUUUAAAAUUUAAUAUUUUAGGGGAUAAGCUUUAAAUUAAAAUUUUAUAAUUAAUAAAUAAAAAUUAAAAUUUUUAAAAUUUAUAUUGUUUAAAAAUUAUAAUUUAUUAUAAAAAAUUUUAAUUAAAAUAAAAUUUAAAUUAAAUUUAAUUUUUUAUAAAAAAAUGAUUUUUAAUUAAUAAAAAUUAAUAAUAAUGAUAAAAUUAGUAUAUUAUAAUUAAUAAAAAAAAAAUUAGUUAAAAUUAAAUUAAAGGAAUUCGGCAAAAUUUUAUAUUCACUUGUUUAUCAAAAACAUGUCUUUUUGAAAAUAAUUUAAAGUCUAAUCUGCCCACUGAUAUAAUUAUUAAAGGGCUGCAGUAUAUUGACUGUACAAAGGUAGCAUAAUCAUUAGUCUUUUAAUUGAAGACUUGUAUGAAAGAUUUGAUGAAAUAUUAACUGUCUCUGAUUUAUUUAUAUAAAAUUUAAUUUUUUAGUUAAAAAGCUAAAAUAAAAUUAAAAGACGAGAAGACCCUAUAGAGUUUUAUAAUUAUAAUAAUUAAUAAAUAUCUUAUUUAUAUAUAAAUAAAGAAAAAUUAUUUUAAUUAUUUUAUUGGGGUGAUAAAAAAAUUAAAAAAACUUUUUUUUAUUUAAACAUAAAUAAGUGAAAGAAUGAUCCAUUAAUAAUGAUUAUAAGAAAAAAUUACCUUAGGGAUAACAGCGUAAUAUUUUUUUUUAGUACAAAUAAAAAAAAAAGUUUGCGACCUCGAUGUUGGAUUAAGAUAAAAUUUAAAUGCAAAAGUUUAAAAUUUUGAUCUGUUCGAUCAUUAAAAUCUUACAUGAUCUGAGUUCAAACCGGUGUAAGCCAGGUUGGUUUCUAUCUUUAAUAAAAAUAAAUAUUUUAGUACGAAAGGAUCAAAUAUUUGAAAUAAUUUUAAUUAUAAGAAUAUUAAUAAAUUUAUAUAAA